GCGGCCAUGGUUUAGUGGUAGGACACGAACUUGCCAAGUUCGAAGCGAGAGUUCGAUUCUCUCUGGCCGCA
rfam:Candidatus Zambryskibacteria bacterium RIFCSPHIGHO2_02_FTLL_43_14 rifcsphigho2_02_scaffold_1045, whole genome shotgun sequence.